GAUCCUGGCUCAGAUUGAACGCUGGCGGCAGGCCUAACACAUGCAAGUCGAACGGUAACAGGAAGCAGCUUGCUGCUUCGCUGACGAGUGGCGGACGGGUGAGUAAUGUCUGGGAAACUGCCUGAUGGAGGGGGGAUAACUACUGGAAACGGUAGCUAAUACCGCAUAACGUCGCAAGACCAAAGAGGGGGGACCUUCGGGCCUCUUGCCAUCGGAUGUGCCCAGAUGGGAUUAGCUAGUAGGG
rnacentral:rRNA from 1 species